ACGGGUGAGUAAUACAUCGGAACGUGCCCUGUAGUGGGGGAUAACUAGUCGAAAGAUUAGCUAAUACCGCAUACGACCUGAGGGUGAAAGUGGGGGACCGCAAGGCCUCAUGCUAUAGGAGCGGCCGAUGUCUGAUUAGCUAGUUGGUGAGGUAAAGGCUCACCAAGGCGACGAUCAGUAGCUGGUCUGAGAGGACGAUCAGCCACACUGGGACUGAGACACGGCCCAGGCUCCUACGGGAGGCAGCAGUGGGGAAUUUUGGACAAUGGGGGCAACCCUGAUCCAGCAAUGCCGCGUGUGUGAAGAAGGCCUUCGGGUUGUAAAGCACUUUUGUCCGGAAAGAAAUCGCACUUACUAAUAUUAGGUGUGGAUGACGGUACCGGAAGAAUAAGGACCGGCUAACUACGUGCCAGCAGCCGCGGUAAUACGUAGGGUCCAAGCGUUAAUCGGAAUUACUGGGCGUAAAGCGUGCGCAGGCGGUUGUGCAAGACCGAUGUGAAAUCCCCGGGCUUAACCUGGGAAUUGCAUUGGUGACUGCACGGCUAGAGUGUGUCAGAGGGGGGUAGAAUUCCACGU
rnacentral:rRNA from 1 species